rnacentral:rRNA from 1 species
AUUGAACGCUGGCGGCAUGCCUUACACAUGCAAGUCGAACGGUAACAGGUCUUCGGAUGCUGACGAGUGGCGAACGGGUGAGUAAUACAUCGGAACGUGCCCGAUCGUGGGGGAUAACGAGGCGAAAGCUUUGCUAAUACCGCAUACGAUCUACGGAUGAAAGCGGGGGACCUCCGGACCUCGCGCGGACGGAGCGGCCGAUGGCAGAUUAGGUAGUUGGUGGGAUAAAAGCUUACCAAGCCGACGAUCUGUAGCUGGUCUGAGAGGAUGAUCAGCCACACUGGGACUGAGACACGGCCCAGACUCCUACGGGAGGCAGCAGUGGGGAAUUUUGGACAAAGGGCGAAAGCCUGAUCCAGCCAUGCCGCGUGCAGGAUGAAGGCCUUCGGGUUGUAAACUGCUUUUGUACGGAACGAAAAGCCUCUUUCUAAUAAAGAGGGGUCAUGACGGUACCGUAAGAAUAAGCACCGGCUAACUACGUG